rnacentral:tRNA from 1 species
AAAGGGAGACCUAAUUCAGGUAAAAGACGAAAAAAAAGUAGUCGCUACCAAGAAUCAAUCCCAAAAGGUCGGAGCGAGGCGAAAUUGGCUUUCAAACUAGGUUCUGGGUUCAAACAAGACCUGAAUCAGGAACAAGGACUAUUAGCUCAGGUGGUUAGAGCGCACCCCUGAUAAGGGUGAGGUCCCUGGUUCGAGUCCAGGAUGGCCCACCUGCACAGGUGGCAAAAACAAGAGAAGCGAGGAAUCAGCACCUUAUCUUACUUAUAUAGUAAGAGAGAAUGCUGGCUCUGAGUAAAGAGUCCAGAGGAACCUUGAAAACUGCAUAGAGCUAGGUGAAAAAGCCAAAAAAGAAGACCGCAAG